rnacentral:rRNA from 1 species
CAGACUCCUACGGGAGGCAGCAGUGGGGAAUAUUGCACAAUGGGCGCAAGCCUGAUGCAGCGACGCCGCGUGGGGGAUGACGGCCUUCGGGUUGUAAACUCCUUUCGCUAGGGACGAAGCUUUUUGUGACGGUACCUAGAUAAGAAGCACCGGCUAACUACGUGCCAGCAGCCGCGGUAAUACGUAGGGUGCGAGCGUUGUCCGGAAUUACUGGGCGUAAAGGGCUCGUAGGUGGUUUGUCGCGUCGUCUGUGAAAUUCCGGGGCUUAACUCCGGGCGUGCAGGCGAUACGGGCAUAACUUGAGUACUGUAGGGGUAACUGGAAUUCCUGGUGUAGCGGUGAAAUGCGCAGAUAUCAGGAGGAACACCGAUGGCGAAGGCAGGUUACUGGGCAGUUACUGACGCUGAGGAGCGAAAGCAUGGGUAGCGAACAGGAUUAGAUACCCUGGUAGUCCAUGCCGUAAACGGUGGGCGCUAGGUGUGAGGGUCUUUUCACGACUUUCGUGCCGUAGCUAACGCAUUAAGCGCCCCGCCUGGGGAGUACGGCCGCAAGGCUAAAACUCAAAGGAAUUGACGGGGGCCCGCACAAGCGGCGGAGCAUGUGGAUUAAUUCGAUGCAACGCGAAGAACCUUACCUGGGCUUGACAUACACCAGAUCGCUGCAGAGAUGUAGUUUCCCUUUGUGGCUGGUGUACAGGUGGUGCAUGGUUGUCGUCAGCUCGUGUCGUGAGAUGUUGGGUUAAGUCCCGCAACGAGCGCAACCCUCGUUCUAUGUUGCCAGCACGUGAUGGUGGGAACUCAUAGGAGACUGCCGGGGUCAACUCGGAGGAAGGUGGGGAUGACGUCAAAUCAUCAUGCCCCUUAUGUCUUGGGCUUCACGCAUGCUACAAUGGCCGGUACAAAGGGCUGCGAUACCGCGAGGUGGAGCGAAUCCCAAAAAGCCGGUCUCAGUUCGGAUUGGGGUCUGCAACUCGACCCCAUGAAGUCGGAGUCGCUAGUAAUCGCAGAUCAGCAACGCUGCGGUGAAUACGUUCCCGGGCCUUGUACACACCG